GGCUUAGUUACGAUUAAUAGGAGUAGCUUGGGGGCAUUUGKAUUCAGAUGUCAGAGGUGAAAUUCUUAGAUUUUCUGGAGACGAACACUGGAAAGCCUUUGCCUAAAAWACUUCCMUUAAUCAAGAACGAAAGUUAAGGGARUGAAGACGAUCAGAAACCGUUGKAAUCUUAACCAUUAACUAAGCCGACUAGGCUUUGGAUKAAAGAUUUUAAAAUWAGGAUUUUCUCUUAGGAGKUUAUUCUUAGAUUGCUUCCUUCAGUGCCUUAUGAGAAAUCAAAGUCUUUGGGUUCUGGGGCGAGUAUUCGCGCAAGCGAGAAAGUUAAAAGAAUUGACGGAAGGGCACCACCAGGCGUGGAGCUUGCGGCUUAAUUUGACUCAACACGGGAAAACUCACUAGUUUAAGACAAGAGUAGGAUUGACAGAUUAAUAGCUCUUUCUUGAUUUCUUGGAUGGUGAUGCAUGGCCGUUUUUAGUUCGUGAAUAUGAUUUGUCUGGUUAAUUCCGAUAACGAACGAGAUCUUAACCUGCUAAUUAGCGGCAAAUACGAUAUAUUCUUACGUGGGACUGAAUUCGGUUGAUUUGCUUACUUYGAAGAAAAUAUUGGGAAACGUAACAGUUUCCCUUUCCCUUUUCUACUUAGUUCGCUUUUCAUACUGUUUCUUUUUCGCGUAAGAAUGUAUUUGCUUGAUUGUAAAGCUUCUUA
rnacentral:rRNA from 1 species